AUUGAACGCUGGCGGCAUGCUUUACACAUGCAAGUCGAACGGCAGCGCGGGCUUCGGCCUGGCGGCGAGUGGCGAACGGGUGAGUAAUACAUCGGAACGUGCCCAGUAGUGGGGGAUAGCUCGGCGAAAGCCGGAUUAAUACCGCAUACGACCUGAGGGUGAAAGCGGGGGAUCUUCGGACCUCGCGCUAUUGGAGCGGCCGAUGGCAGAUUAGCUAGUUGGUGGGGGAAAGGCCUACCAAGGCGACGAUCUGUAGCUGGUCUGAGAGGACGACCAGCCACACUGGGACUGAGACACGGCCCAGACUCCUACGGGAGGCAGCAGUGGGGAAUUUUGGACAAUGGGCGAAAGCCUGAUCCAGCAAUGCCGCGUGUGUGAUGAAGGCCUUCGGGUUGUAAAGCACUUUUGGCGGGAACGAAAAGGACUGUGCCAAUACCACGGUUCGAUGACGGUACCCGCAGAAUAAGCACCGGCUAACUACGUG
rnacentral:rRNA from 1 species